GUUAUCGUUUAUUUGAUAGUACCUUACUACUUGGAUAACCGUGGUAAUUCUAGAGCUAAUACAUGCUAAAAAUCCCGACUUCGGAAGGGAUGUAUUUAUUAGAUUAAAAACCAAUGCCCUCUGGGCUCUCUGGUGAUUCAUGAUAACUUCUCGAAUCGCAUGGCCUUGCGCCGGCGAUGGUUCAUUCAAAUUUCUUCCCUAUCAACUUUCGAUGUUUGGGUAGUGGCCAAACAUGGUUGCAACGGGUAACGGAGGGUUAGGGCUCGACCCCGGAGAAGGAGCCUGAGAAACGGCUACUACAUCCAAGGAAGGCAGCAGGCGCGCAAAUUACCCAAUCCCGAUUCGGGGAGGUAGUGACAAUAAAUACUGAUACAGGGCUCUUUUGGGUCUUGUAAUUGGAAUGAGUACAAUUUAAAUCCCUUAACGAGGAACAAUUGGAGGGCAAGUCUGGUGCCAGCAGCCGCGGUAAUUCCAGCUCCAAUAGCGUAUAUUAAAGUUGUUGUGGUUAAAAAGCUCGUAGUUGAACCUUGGGCCUGGCUGGCCGGUCCGCCUCACCGCGUGUACUGGUCCGGCCGGGUCUUUCCCUCUGUGGAACCCCAUGCCCUUCACUGGGUGUGGCGGGGAAACAGGACUUUUACUUUGAAAAAAUUAGAGUGCUCCAGGCAGGCCUAUGCUCGAAUACAUUAGCAUGGAAUAAUGAAAUAGGACGUGCGGUUCUAUUUUGGUGGUUUCUAGGACCGCCGUAAUGAUUAAUAGGGACAGUCGGGGGCAUCAGUAUUCAAUUGUCAGAGGUGAAAUUCUUGGAUUUAUUGAAGACUAACUACUGCGAAAGCAUUUGCCAAGGAUGUUUUCAUUAAUCAGGAACGAAAGUUAGGGGAUCGAAGACGAUCAGAUACCGUCGUAGUCUUAACCAUAAACUAUGCCGACUAGGGAUCGGACGAUGUUA
rnacentral:rRNA from 1 species